AAAGGCUCCUCCAGCUUCUUCUUGUUCAUGUCACUGAGAGAGGUCACCACCUGCCCUCUUUCAUUUGCCACUUCUGAUUAUCAGUGGAGUUGGGAGUGGAUACAUCAGAGUGUGCUAUGCAGAAGACAUUUGAAAUGGAGGCACUUGAGUUUUCAAACAUUCACAUCCAUUAUCUCAUAUGAGCACACGGGCACCAGAAUUCUGACUUUUUGGCUGGAUGAGUGACACCAGAAUGACUUUGUAUCUCCCAGCCUUCCUUGAAGCUAGG